rnacentral:rRNA from 1 species
AUGGCUACAUCAGAACCGGUACAGGAAAGCUGGGAGCUGGAACCCAGUAGGCCUCGGGUCCUCCUUGCUGCUUCAGGGAGUGUAGCUGCUAUAAAAUUCGAGAGCCUCUGUCGUGUCUUCUCCGAGUGGGCGGAAGUCCGAGCUGUGGCGACCAAGUCAUCAUUGCACUUUAUUGAGAGAUCAUCUCUGCCUAGCGACGUCAUUCUUUACACUGAUGAUGAUGAGUGGUCUACCUGGACGAAGAUAGGAGACGAGGUUCUGCACAUAGAGCUGCGGAAGUGGGCAGACAUCAUGGUGAUCGCCCCCUUAUCAGCAAACACUCUGGCCAAGAUCGCUGGUGGGUUAUGCGACAACCUCCUGACAUGCAUAGUGCGGGCGUGGGACUACAAGAAGCCGAUCUUCGCCGCUCCAGCCAUGAACACCUUCAUGUGGAACAACCCGUUCACGGCGCGCCACAUCGAGACGAUCAACCAACUCGGGAUUUCCUUGGUCCCACCCACCACGAAGAGGCUGGCCUGCGGCGACUACGGGAACGGCGCGAUGGCUGAGCCUUCACAGAUCCAUACGACCGUGAGGCUCGCGUGCAAGUCACAUACGUUCGGCACGGGCAAUUCACCCGCGAUCCCUUCCAGCAGCCACCCUGUCUAG